rnacentral:rRNA from 1 species
GAUGAACGCUGGCGGCGUGCCUAAUACAUGCAAGUCGAGCGAACGGACGAGAAGCUUGCUUCUCUGAUGUUAGCGGCGGACGGGUGAGUAACACGUGGAUAACCUACCUAUAAGACUGGGAUAACUUCGGGAAACCGGAGCUAAUACCGGAUAAUAUUUUGAACCACAUGGUUCAAAAGUGAAAGACGGUCUUGCUGUAACUUAUAGAUGUAUCAGCGCUGCAUUAGCUAGUUGGUAAGGUAACGGCUUACCAAGGCAACGAUGCAUAGGCGACCUAAGAGGGUGAAUGCCCACACGGGAUCUGAGACAGGGUCCAGACACUGACGGUAGGCAGCAGUAGGGAAUCUUACGCAAUGGGCGAAAGCCGGACGGAGCAAAGCGGCGUGAGUGAUGAAGGUCUUCGGAUCGGAAAACUCUGUUAUUAGGGAAGAACAAAUGUGUAAGUAACUGUGCACAUCUUGACGGUACCUAAUCAGAAAGCAACGGCUAACUACGUG